ensembl:snoRNA
CUCAAUGUGUCUUUGAGACCCAUCUGCUGUGACAGUCUUCCUUCCUAGUCAUGGAAGAGCAUAUUCUUGUUUAUUGGCAACACUGUCACCAUUUCAUUGGUAUCAGAUUCUGACUGACACAAGUAACAUUC